GCCUCUCCAACCGUAGCCUUGGCCGGCUAGACCCCCUCCGCGUCGUCCCACGCCGCUCCCCUCCCCCACUGUCGCGAAGCUCCCGCCCGAGCGGACCACGUGCCGGGAACCGGGCGGGGAGAGACCACUCUUGAACCCCUUCCGGCUUCCUCGAACACCCCAGGCUGCAGCCCAUGCUCCCUAUGCUGGGUCCUCAGGUGAACUGCACCUUGUAACAGCCUGCUCAGCCUCCCACCUGAUCCUGAUUGGGCCAUGAUCCUGGGAAGGCUGAAUCACCGCCUCCCUCCGUCCCUCCCAGGCAUGUGCCUGUGAUUCAAAUUGGACCAGACUGUUUCCCCAGACAUUGCUGAUAGCGCAAAUUGAGAGACUUGUCUAUCUGCUCUUGGCUGCCUUCCCUGGCAUGAAGGAGAAGGCUUUUUGUACAAGGAGCAACUGAGAGAAAUAAAGAGGGAAGUAGAAAAGUGAUAAAUGAUAGAUGGGAGGGAAGAAAAGAAGGAAGAAUGGAAGGAAGGAAUACAAGAAGGAAUCAAGGAAGGAAAUAUUUGAACCUCUAUCUCAUGCCUGAGAGUUAGAACUACCUCUGGACCCCCCAGUUAUAUGAGCUGAUAAAUUCCCUUAAUUAUUUUUUAUUUUUUGCUUAAACAGGUUGAUUUGGAUCUAUCACUUAUAACCAAAGCAGUCUUGAUAAUACAUG
rnacentral:lncRNA from 1 species